UAAGCCCCUCGCAUGCACCACUCCUU
rnacentral:piRNA from 1 species